rnacentral:rRNA from 1 species
UACGUAGGUGGCGAGCGUUGUCCGGAUUUACUGGGCGUAAAGAGCGCGCAGGCGGUCGUUCAAGUCGCGUGUGAAAGCCCCCGGCUCAACUGGGGAGGGUCACGCGAUACUGAUCGACUCGAAGGCAGGAGAGGGUAGUGGAAUUCCCGGUGUAGUAGUGAAAUGCGUAGAUAUCGGGAGGAACACCAGUGGCGAAGGCGACUACCUGGCCUGUUCUUGACGCUGAGGCGCGAAAGCUAGGGGAGCAAACGGG